rnacentral:rRNA from 1 species
UACGAAGGGUGCAAGCGUUACUCGGAAUUACUGGGCGUAAAGCGUGCGUAGGUGGUUCGUUAAGUCUGUCGUGAAAGCCCCGGGCUCAACCUGGGAAUGGCGAUGGAUACUGCCGCGGCUGGAGCACUGUAGAGGCAGGCGGAAUUCCGGGUGUAGCGGUGGAAUGCGUAGAGAUCCGGAAGAACACCGGUGGCGAAGGCGGCCUGCUGGGCAGUUGCUGACACUGAGGCGCGACAGCGUGGGGAGCAAACAGG